rnacentral:lncRNA from 1 species
UGGAGCCACUGGGUAACGCUCAGCUUUCCGUGGUCACGUGCUCACUGCUCUCCAGACCAUGCCCCCUUCGUCAACCGAGAUGUGUCUUUUUUGUGUGUGGAGUCAUGUGUGUGAAAGCAAACUGCCAGUUUUCUCCCAGGACGUGGCCACAUGCCUGAACUCUUUCAAAUAA